rnacentral:rRNA from 1 species
UACAGAGGUCUCAAGCGUUGUUCGGAUUCAUUGGGCGUAAAGGGUGUGUAGGUGGCGCGCUAAGUCGGGUGUGAAAUUUCGGAGCUUAACUCCGAAACUGCAUUCGAUACUGGCGUGCUUGAGGACUGGAGAGGAGACUGGAAUUCAUGGUGUAGCAGUGAAAUGCGUAGAGAUCAUGAGGAAGACCAGUGGCGAAGGCGGGACUCUGGGCCGAUACUGACGCUGAGGAGCGAAAGCGUGGGGAGCGAACAGG